rnacentral:rRNA from 1 species
AGUGAGCGCUGGCGGUAGGCCUAACACAUGCAAGUCGAACGGCAGCACAGUAAGAGCUUGCUCUUACGGGUGGCGAGUGGCGGACGGGUGAGGAAUACAUCGGAAUCUACUUUUUCGUGGGGGAUAACGUAGGGAAACUUACGCUAAUACCUCAUACGACCUACGGGUGAAAGCAGGGGAUCUUCGGACCUUUCGCGAUUGAAUGAGCCCGUGUCGGAUUAGCUAGUUGGCGGGGUAAAGGCCCACCAAGGCAACGAUCCGUAGCCGGUCCGAGAGGAUGAACGGGCACACUGGGAAUUGGACACCGGCCCAGACCCCAAGGGGAGGCAGAAGUGGGAAACAUUGGAAAAGGGGCGAAGCCCUGAGCCAGACAUACCGGGUGGGUGAAGAGGGCCUUCGGGUUGUAAAGCCCUUUUGUUGGGAAAGAAAAGCAGCAGGUUAACACCCCGCUGUUCUACCGGUACCAAAAGAAUAAGCACCGGCUAACUUCGU